CCCUUAGAUGUUCUGGGCCGCACGCGCGCUACACUGAUGCAUUCAACGAGUUUCUUCCUGGUCCGGGAGGAAUGGGUAACCUUUUGAAAGCGCAUCGUGAUAGGGAUAGACUAUUGCAAUUAUUGGUCUUCAACGAGGAAUUCCUAGUAGACGUAGUUCAUCAGACUGCAUCGAUUACGUCCCUGCCCUUUGUACACACCGCCCGUCGCUCCUACCGAUUGAAUGCUCAGGUGAGCCAUUCGGACUUUCAUCAUGCUGGUUUCCAGUUUUGAUGAAGGAAAGUCUUGCGAACCUUAUCAUUUAGAGGAAGGAGAAGUCGUAACA
rnacentral:rRNA from 1 species